rnacentral:tRNA from 1 species
GCCCGGGUAGCUCAAUUGGUCAGAGCGUGUGGCUUUUAACCUCAAGGUUGGGGGUUCGAAUCCCCCCUCGGGCG